CUCGGCUGUUAAACAAGAUACACGGCUUAAAGCCCAGGCCCCAAGCUAUUUACCAGGGCAAGUUGCAAAGGUUACAAAGAUGACACUGUACCAUGUCUUGAUAACAGGAUGUGAUGGACCCUCAUGGACACAUCAGGACUGGAGCACUGGACACAAGUAAAGACAGGAACUCCAAGACAGGGCUCCAAGACAGGUUUGUGAUUAGGAUGUGGACUCAUAUAAAGGAAAAAGAAAAGGUCAUCAGUUAUGUAGACGACAUAUUAAUUGCCACUGUAACCAAGGAAGAGAAUCUCAAAAUUCUAGAUGCUGUUCAGUGCAAGAUACAAGAAACUGGAAUUGUGAUCAGUCUGACAAAAGCCCAAAUGAUACAACAAAAAGUUAUUUAUCUUGGCAUGGAGCUGGGCAUACACAGGCACAGGCCUGAUGCACAAGGAGUUGAAUUAAUUUGUAAACUGCCAGCCCCGCAAAACGUGUCAGCGUUAAGGUCUUUCUUGGGCCUUACAGGAUUCUCCCAAGGUUUUAUUGAGGGUUACUCAGAGAUUGCACAACCUCUUUAUAUACUGUGAAAGAAGAGCCAAGAAUGGACUUGGGGCAAAAAACAGAGAGAUGCAUUCUGUCAGGUGCUUGCAAAGACUCUGGUGUUGGUCUACCUUCAGCCUAACAAACCCUUCCAGCUUCAACUAGUGACAACUGAGAAAGGAUUAAGUAUUCUUAUUGCAGAACAACAGAGUACAGUAGUUGUAGUUAUACUUAACGUUGUAAUUAUGUUCCUGAAAAAUGUGACUUUAAGCAAAACAAUGUUAAGCGAAUCCAAUUUCCCCAUAAGAAGUAAUGUAAAUGAGGGGGUUAGGUUCCAGGGAAUUUUUUUCACCAGACAAAAGACUAUAUUAUAGAUAUAUGUAUAUAUAUGCUCAGGAUAUGGAAACAGAUACUGCUUAGUAAUAACCGACUCCUUCUCGAAAUGGAUAGAGGCAUAUCCUACAUGAAACAACACAGCUAGCACUACAGCAAAAAUCCUUUUGGAACAAACCUUCUCUAGAUUUGGUCUUCUGGAGGUAUUAGACUUGGACCAAGGACCCCAUUUUGUAGGAGAGAUAGUAAAGUGUUGUGCCAAGCAUUUAUUAUAAAACAGAAAAUCCAUAUUGCAGGACCCCCGCAAAGCUCGGGUUUGGUCGAGUGAACAAAUCGGACAUUAAAGACUGCUUCACGCAAGAUUGUUGCAAGUUCAGGAAAAGACUGGGACAAAAGAUUAUGGCCAUUAGGACAAAUGGCCAUAAGAUCAACAAUUGUGUCCCAUGGGUACACUCCUCACGAGGUCAUAACGGGCAGAAUGAUAAAAACGCCCAAACAGGGGUGGCUAGGAGGGAUAUCUCCAGAGGAGUAUCAACUCAGAAUUAAAAUAGAUCAGUUUAUAAAUAAGCUGUUGAAUACUAUCAGCGCUGUUCAAAAACAGGUCAGUGCAAUUGAAAAGUAAUGCUAGACAGAUGGAUAAAAGACUGGGUGAUGUGUUAAAAUGCAAGGAAUGGAAUGUAGGUGACAAAUUUUUUUAUCGCUUCUACUCAGAUAAGAACCAUUCUUUAAGACCCAAAUGGGUAGGACCAGUUCUAAGGAUAAGGCCUUUUCCUGUAGCUAUAUUGUAAGGCCUAAAGCCUACGGCCUUUGUCUGCAGCCAUAUUAAGAGAGCAGCAGGCAUUAGCUAAGAAGCAGAAAGUCACAUUCCAUCUCAGUUACAUUAAAACAAUGUAAUAUCAGGCUGUUAAGAAGGAGACCCGUCCUAAUAGCCCCCACUAGCACCAGAUAAAGAAACAGAUCUUAAGAUGGUUAAAGAAAACUUAGUUUCAUAGCCUCCUGUCUGGCAAAAAUCACUUAUCAAUAGCUGUAGUUGUAAAAUCCUCAUUUCUUUAUGGUUUUAUCUUUAUGGUCCCCACUUUCCUAUUGUUUGUAUGAUCUCUGUCUGGUUCUUUGAUUGUUUCUGUCUGUUACAUAAUUAAUUUAGCAAAUUAAUUAAGGUGGUAGGGUAGGAUUGGUUAGAGAAUUUUGUUACAAUAUGUCAGGAUUAGUUAGCAAAAUUUUAGUAUCAUGAUUGGUUAAACUAAAAGUAUAGCUAAGCAGGACUCAAGUUUCACUAUAUAAACUGGGGUCCAAAAGGAAGUUCUUUGGGCACUAACUCCAGCACACAGCCUCAAGAACAGAGCUGCCAGACCUCAACACUAUGCCACUUACACUGUGCAGAAACUGGAGUCCCUCAGAUGACCUGAUACUGACUGACCAUCAAGAAGAGUUCAUCUGUCUUAUUGGGAGUGGUGAGCAUUGUAUGCUUAGCAUGUGCAUUCUGUUUUGGUGAUUGUUAAUAAAUAGAGGUUAAGUAGGAUAUUAAGUAGGCUC
ensembl:lncRNA